GCUCCGGCGCGGUACAACGGCGAAACAGGAACCCCGCCAGGACGGGAACGUAGCAACGGUACUGUGUAGUCGUGUGUUGCCGUUCAACCGGGGCCCG
rnacentral:SRP_RNA from 2 species